rnacentral:rRNA from 3 species
AAUGACUCUCGGCAACGGAUAUCUCGGCUCUCGCAUCGAUGAAGAACGUAGCGAAAUGCGAUACUUGGUGUGAAUUGCAGAAUCCCGUGAACCAUCGAGUCUUUGAACGCAAGUUGCGCCCGAAGCCUUUUGGCCGAGGGCACGUUUGCCUGGGCGU